rnacentral:lncRNA from 1 species
UUGGUACAUAUACAUAUAUAGUGGUACACAUCCCCAAGACCAGCUUUACAAAGUGGACAAAUUCUCUCAUUUCGUGGUACAUUUCUCCAUCUUCCUGUUUAAAUGGGAAACUUUGUAUUACAUACCCUUAAUUUACAUAUAUUUACUCUAUGACCCCGCCUUAAUUUUAAUAGAUAUGGUUCUAAGCAAAACUCUUCUUUAAAGAGUAAUAAAAUCCACCCCUUGAUGAUUUAUGUAUAUCAUAGAACCAUUUUUGAAUAAAUUGGUCCUGGAGACGCCGCCUCACAUUAGUUUUAAUAUAAUUAUAAUCAAC